CAAUAGCGUAUAUUAAAGUUGUUGCGGUUAAAAAGCUCGUAGUUGGAUUUCUGCUGAGGAUGACCGGUCCGCCCUGUGGGUGUGCAUCUGGCUCAGCCUUGGCAUCUUCCUGAAGAACGUAGCUGCACUUGACUGUGUGGUGCGGUAUUUAGGACAUUUACUUUGAGGAAAUUAGAGUGUUUCAAGCAAGCGCACGCUUUGAAUACAUUAGCAUGGAAUAAUAAGAUAGGACCUUGGUUCUAUUUUGUUGGUUUCUAGAGCUGAGGUAAUGAUUGAUAGGGAUAGUUGGGGGCAUUCGUAUUUAACUGUCAGAGGUGAAAUUCUUGGAUUUGUUAAAGACGAACUACUGCGAAAGCAUUUGCCAAGGAUGUUUUCAUUGA
rnacentral:rRNA from 1 species